rnacentral:rRNA from 1 species
UGAACGCUGGCGGCAGGCCUAACACAUGCAAGUCGAACGGUAACAGGAAGAAGCUUGCUUCUUUGCUGACGAGUGGCGGACGGGUGAGUAAUGUCUGGGAAACUGCCUGAUGGAGGGGGAUAACUACUGGAAACGGUAGCUAAUACCGCAUAACGUCGCAAGACCAAAGAGGGGGACCUUAGGGCCUCUUGCCAUCGGAUGUGCCCAGAUGGGAUUAGCUAGUAGGUGGGGUAAAGGCUCACCUAGGCGACGAUCCCUAGCUGGUCUGAGAGGAUGACCAGCCACACUGGAACUGAGACACGGUCCAGACUCCUACGGGAGGUAGCAGUGGGGAAUAUUGCACAAUGGGCGCAAGCCUGAUGCAGCCAUGCCGCGUGUAUGAAGAAGGCCUUCGGGUUGUAAAGUACUUUCAGCGGGGAGGAAGGUGUUGUGGUUAAUAACCACAGCAAUUGACGUUACCCGCAGAAGAAGCACCGGCUAACUCCGUGCCAGCAGCCGCGGUAAUACGGAGGGUGCAAGCGUUAAUCGGAAUUACUGGGCGUAAAGCGCACGCAGGCGGUCUGUCAAGUCGGAUGUGAAAUCCCCGGGCUCAACCUGGGAACUGCAUUCGAAACUGGCAGGCUUGAGUCUCGUAGAGGGGGGUAGAAUUCCAGGUGUAGCGGUGAAAUGCGUAGAGAUCUGGAGGAAUACCGGUGGCGAAGGCGGCCCCCUGGACGAAGACUGACGCUCAGGUGCGAAAGCGUGGGGGAGCAAACAGGAUUAGAUACCCUGGUAGUCCACGCCGUAAACGAUGUCUAUUUGGAGGUUGUGCCCUUGAGGUGUGGCUUCCGGAGCUAACGCGUUAAAUAGACCGCCUGGGGAGUACGGCCGCAAGGUUAAAACUCAAAUGAAUUGACGGGGGCCCGCACAAGCGGUGGAGCAUGUGGUUUAAUUCGAUGCAACGCGAAGAACCUUACCUGGUCUUGACAUCCACAGAACUUUCCAGAGAUGGAGGGGUGCCUUCGGGAACUGUGAGACAGGUGCUGCAUGGCUGUCGUCAGCUCGUGUUGUGAAAUGUUGGGUUAAGUCCCGCAACGAGCGCAACCCUUAUCCUUUGUUGCCAGCGGUUAGGCCGGGAACUCAAAGGAGACUGCCAGUGAUAAACUGGAGGAAGGUGGGGAUGACGUCAAGUCAUCAUGGCCCUUACGACCAGGGCUACACACGUGCUACAAUGGCGCAUACAAAGAGAAGCGAACUCGCGAGAGCAAGCGGACCUCAUAAAGUGCGUCGUAGUCCGGACUGGAGUCUGCAACUCGACUCCAUGAAGUCGGAAUCGCUAGUAAUCGUGGAUCAGAAUGCCACGGUGAAUACGUUCCCGGGCCUUGUACACACCG